rnacentral:rRNA from 1 species
GUCGGGAAUUUUGGGCAAUGGGCGCAAGCCUGACCCAGCAACGCCGCGUGAAGGAUGAAAUCCCUCGGGAUGUAAACUUCGCAAGAACGGGAAGAAUAAGUGGGGGUUAAUAUCUCUCACGAUGACGGUACUGUUUGUAAGCUCCGGCUAACUCCGUGCCAGCAGCCGCGGUAAUACGGGGGGAGCAAGCGUUGUUCGGAUUUACUGGGCGUAAAGGGCGCGUAGGCGGCCACCGCAAGUCGAUUGUGAAAUCUCCGGGCUUAACCCGGAAAGGUCAACCGAUACUGCGGGGCUAGAGUGCAGAAGGGGCAACUGGAAUUCUCGGUGUAGCGGUGAAAUGCGUAGAUAUCGAGAGGAACACCUGCGGCGAAGGCGGGUUGCUGGGCUGACACUGACGCUGAGGCGCGAAAGCUAGGGGAGCGAACGGGAUUAGAAACCCCUGUAGUCC